GCGUGCGAUCUUACCAGCACUAAAAAACCGGAUCCUAUCAGAACUCCGCAAUUAAGCGUGCUUGGGCGAGAGUAGUACUAGGAUGAGUGACCUCCUGGGAAGUCCUCGUGUUGCACCCC
rfam:Gossypium hirsutum cultivar TM-1 chromosome 13, whole genome shotgun sequence